rnacentral:rRNA from 1 species
CAGUAGCCGCGGUAAUACGAAGGGUGCAAGCGUUAAUCGGAAUUACUGGGCGUAAAGCGUGCGUAGGCGGUUUGUUAAGUCUGUUGUGAAAUCCCCGGGCUCAACCUGAGAAUGGCAAUGGAUACUGGCAAGCUGGAGUGUGUCAGAGGAUGGUGGAAUUCCCGGUGUAGCGGUGAAAUGCGUAGAGAUCGGGAGGAACAUCAGUGGCGAAGGCGGCCAUCUGGGACAACACUGACGCUGAGGCACGAAAGCGUGGGGGGCAAACAGGAUUAGAUACCCCAGUAGUCCCUGUCUCUUAUAC